CUCUGAGCUCCUGGAGGCUCAGCAGGUGCAGGCCUCCUGCAAGCUCUGAAGCUACACAUCAUGAAGAGCUACAGAAAUUGGUGGACACUGUGCUGUCAAUUAAGCAUAAGGACAUCCUUGUGGAAUUUGGGUCAUUUGAUCCUUCCUGCCUGAUGCCUGCCUGCCCAGAUUACUGGACCUACUCAGGGUCCCUGACUACCCCGCCACUCCAAGUCCGUUGCCUGGAUCAUUAAGAAGCAGCCCAUAGAGGUUGAUCAUGAUCAGGUAUGUUCUUUCCACAUUUCUGUCUGAGGAAAUGCUAGC